rnacentral:rRNA from 1 species
CAGUAGCCGCGGUAAAACAGAGGGUGCGAGCGUUAAUCGGAUUUACUGGGCGUAAAGCGUGCGUAGGCGGCUUCUUAAGUCGGAUGUGAAAUCCCUGAGCUUAACUUAGGAAUUGCAUUUGAUACUGGGAAGCUAGAGUAUGGGAGAGGAUGGUAGAAUUCCAGGUGUAGCGGUGAAAUGCGUAGAGAUCUGGAGGAAUACCGAUGGCGAAGGCAGCCAUCUGGCCUAAUACUGACGCUGAGGUACGAAAGCAUGGGGAGCAAACAGGAUUAGAUACCCGUGUAGUCCCUGUCUCUUAUAC